rnacentral:rRNA from 1 species
GAUGAACGCUGGCGGCGUGCUUAACACAUGCAAGUCGAACGAUGAAGCCCAGCUUGCUGGGGGGAUUAGUGGCGAACGGGUGAGUAACACGCGAGUAACCUGCCCUUAACUCUGGGAUAUGCCUGGGAAACUGGGGCUAAUACCGGAUAGGAGCGCCUACCGCAUGGUGGGUGUUGGAAAGAUUUAUCGGUUUUGGAUGGACUCGCGGCGUAUCAGCUUGUUGGUGGGGUAAUGGCUCACCAAGGCGACGACGGGUAGCCGGCCUGAGAGGGUGACCGGCCACACUGGGACUGAGACACGGCCCAGACUCCUACGGGAGGCAGCAGUGGGGAAUAUUGCACAAUGGGCGAAAGCCUGAUGCAGCAACGCCGCGUGAGGGAUGACGGCCUUCGGGUUGUAAACCUCUUUCAGUAGGGAAGAAGCGAAAGUGACGGUAACUGCAGAAGAAGCACCGGCUAACUACGUG